rnacentral:rRNA from 1 species
UACAGAGGUCUCAAGCGUUGUUCGGAAUUACUGGGCGUAAAGGGCGCGUAGGCGGUUCGUUAAGUCCUGUGUGAAAUCCCCCGGCUCAACUGGGGAACUGCACAGGAAACUAGCGGGCUUGAGUUCGGGAGAGGGAAGCGGAAUUCCGGGUGUAGCGGUGAAAUGCGUAGAUAUCCGGAGGAACACCGGUGGCGAAGGCGGCUUCCUGGACCGACACUGACGCUGAGGCGCGAAAGCUAGGGGAGCAAACAGG